ACACGACUACAUUAGACUACCCGGUAGUCCUAGGCGUAAAUGAUGCGAGUUAAGUGUGGGGGCAUCUACGAGAUGGCCCUGUGCUGUAGGGUAGCCGUUAAACUCGCUGCCGUGGGAAGUACGGUCGCAAGGCUAGAAACUUAAAGGAAUUGGCGGGGAGCACCACAACGGGUGGAGCCUGCGGUUUAAUUGGACUCAACGCCGGAAAUCUCACCGGAUAGGACAGACAUAUGAUAGUCGGGCUGAAGACUCUACUUGAUGAUCUG
rnacentral:rRNA from 1 species